CUCAUCUAUACUGUGUCAUAUGAUGUUUCCCCAACGUGUAGACAUGUAUACAUAUUAGAAUAGACCUAUUAUCUACAUCAGAAAAUGAUAUCUGUACACUUUGAAAGGAUAAUCCAAACAUAGUGAAAAUUAAAAACUUGAAACUGUGACAAAGUAGCUCAAACUGAGAGUAAGUAUUAGAAGAGGAAGGGGACGGACAGAGGGGUAUACCACGGAGCCAUGGAGUUCAACAGCACAUCUCCAGACAUUUCAACCCGAGACCCUGGAACGGUCCCUGUGUACUAUGUACUCAUCCCCUUCACAGGGUUCACAGUGAUAGGGUGCGUGAUAGCACUGGUCGUUUACAUACGAAGGAAAAUAAAACAGGACGGGCUUCGCCACAUGCUGAUUUCCCAGUUCAGCUCUGAUCACAGUGAGGAAGACUAUCAAGACAGAGAUGAGGAUCAGGAAGAGAUGGAGCCUCUCUAUAUGGAUGGAAAGCUGUCGUUCAACCAGGCACGUGCACAGAUAGGGCUCUAGGAGUCUCCAGGGGGUGCUGGAGCGCCUGCCCUUCUGCCCUCAUAGGCGAAAAGUGCCCUUUUGAUUGGUGACAGUUUAUAAACAAAUUGCUUUUGUUUUCUCUCUUUUCUCUCUUAUUAUGUACAUUUUAAAUGUAACAAAUUUCUCAUCAAACAAGCCCAUCCCCUGCCCUUCUGCGGAUUUCUUCUUGAGGAUUUCUGCAUGUCUGCCUGAAGGGAAUUCUUCUUGAGGAUUUCUGUAUGUCUGCCUGAAGGGAAUUCUUCUUGAGGAUUUCUGCAUGUCUGCCUGAAGGGAAUUCUUCUUGAGGAUUUCUGCAUGUCUGCCUGAAGGGACACAGAAACUAUAGACUGGCCUUCCCUUCCCUUCCUUUACACUUAUCAAAAAGAAGACUGGCUGCAUGUAUCCCAAUUCUCCGCCCUUCUCCCUAAGUGUGUACUUGCACACUUUCUCAAAUGGAUUUAAAAGGGGGCGAAGAAUCAGGAUGCAUCCGCUAUGCAUGUCAAGACUCAGAAGUUGGUUUACUUUCUGAAUAGAUUUUAAUGGAAAUGGAACUGACCCCAACCCUGAUGCGUGUGUCAUGUUGUGCGACUUAUUGCCGCGUUCAAAACAACCGGGAACACUGAAAAAUAUUAGGUUCAAAUCAUGAUGCCAGUGAUCUUCAGGUCGGAAAGUCGGAGCUCUAGAAAGAGGCCAGAGGUCCCGAGUUGGAAUUCCGAGUUGGAUGACCGUUCAAAGCGAUUGUUCCCAGUCGGAGCUCGUUUCUUUCCCAGUUCCCAGUUGGUUUGAAUGCGGCAUUAACCUUCACUUGACGCUACCAGUUCACCCUCAAGAAGAGGGGGGUGUAAGCAGUCUCUGUAUAGUAUUAUUAUUAUUAUUAUUAUAGUAGAUAGUGCUGCAGUCACACAUUUGCCUUCAGUAUUAGACACAUGAACAUGUUCAGAGACCCACUAAAAAAAGGUAUAU